CUGGCAUCCUUCGGGGUUACAGCCUUGCUGAAUUAUUCACCCGUGUCUUUUGCGUACUUCUUGUUUCCUUGGUGGGUUCGCCCACCAUAGGACAAACCAUAAACCUUUUGUAAUUGCAAUCAGCGUCAGUAAAAAAAUUAAUAAUUACAACUUUUAACAACGGAUCUCUUGGUUCUGGCAUCGAUGAAGAACGCAGCGAAAUGCGAUAAGUAGUGUGAAUUGCAGAAUUCAGUGAAUCAUCGAAUCUUUGAACGCACAUUGCGCCCUUUGGUAUUCCAAAGGGCAUGCCUGUUCGAGCGUCAUUUGUACCCUCAAGCUUUGCUUGGUGUUGGGCGUCUUGUCUCCAGUUCGCUGGAGACUCGCCUUAAAGUAAUUGGCAGCCGGCCUACUGGUUUCGGAGCGCAGCACAAGUCGCGCUCUCUUCCAGCCAAGGUCAGCAUCCACAAAGCCUUUUUUCAACUUUUGACCUCGGAUCAGGUA
rnacentral:rRNA from 1 species